rnacentral:rRNA from 1 species
AGUGAACGCUGGCGGCAGGCCUAACACAUGCAAGUCGAGCGGCAGCGGGUUCCCGCGAGGGGAUGCCGGCGAGCGGCGGACGGGUGAGGAACACAUCGGAAUCUGCCUGGUUGUGGGGGAUAACGUAGGGAAACGUUACGCUAAUACCGCAUGAGACCCUGAGUCGACGGACUGGGGGUGGAAAGUGAGGGACCGUUCGGCCGUCACGCGACCAGAUGAGCCGAUGUCGGA